CUGUCCGUCCGGAGCAUGAACGCCUCCGUCCUGCGGUGCGUUCAGUGACCUGGCGGCGGUGAACGCAGCCCGCUGCCCGGUGCCGCUGAGCAGCAGCAGCGGCAGCAGCAGCGCGGCGGCUCCGCUCAUCCUCUCUGCGUCACCGGCAACCGGCAACAGGUUGCUGCUGCUCCUGCUGACUGAUGUGUGUGAGGCAACCCCGUCUCGUUCCCGUUCCCGUUACCUCACCGUGUCGGAGCACCGGGAGAAGCUCCAGGGAAACUCCAUGGGGCUUCUUUUCGCGGUAACAUCCACAGAAACGAGAAGGUCAGAGCUGCUGCUGCUGUACAGAUCUCCUGUCAAGAGCUGGGAGGAAGGGUUGGACAGACUUCACUGAUUCAUCAUGUGUUGCUUCUCUGCUCCUCAAUCAGCUGCAGAACUGCUGAGUUCAGCAGGAUUACGGGUCAGCGGGGCCGAGGACGGGUCCGGGGGCCCCGCUGGAGCGAUGACAUCACCCAGAGGAGCGCUGACGUAAACUGAUCCAGCAUCAGUUUGUUGUGCUUCGGCAGCUGUUUGUGGAUCAGAUUAAAGUGUGAAUGAAGCACAGUUUAAUCUGCACGUGAGGACCAGCGGCUUACAUAACUCAUCUGUAAUAUCUGAUCAUGUGAUCACUCACACGCUGUUCUGCAUGGUGUUACUAUUGUGAAUAUUGUACUAAUAUGUACCAAGGCAAAUUCUUCGGGCUCAAUUGAAAACAAAGGGUGAAAGGUAUUUUUAUUCUUUGGCGUUCAAGUCAGUCUCGGGACCUUCAUGGUGUCCUGGUUGCUUCAUGUUUCUAUUCUUUUAUUUUUGCUGUAUGUUUCUUUUUUGUCUGAUUGGUCUGUUUUUCUUCUUGAAGUUUUAACUGCAUUACUUUGUUCAGCACAGUGUCUGGUUUAAAUGAGCUUUAUAAAUAAAUGGACUACUUCCUGCUGA